rnacentral:tRNA from 1 species
GUUAUAAUAAUUUAAUUUACAAAAUAUUGGUUUUGUAAACCAAAAUUGAUUUACUCUUAUAACU